rnacentral:rRNA from 1 species
AAAUUGAAGAGUUUGAUCAUGGCUCAGAUUGAACGCUGGCGGCAGGCCUAACACAUGCAAGUCGAACGGUAACACAGAGGAGCUUGCUCCUUGGGUGACGAGUGGCGGACGGGUGAGUAAUGUCUGGGAA